rnacentral:rRNA from 1 species
GUACACAAAAAUGCACAUACUGUGAGCUCGAUGAGUAGGGCGGGACACGUGGUAUCCUGUCUGAAUAUGGGGGGACCAUCCUCCAAGGCUAAAUACUCCUGACUGACCGAUAGUGAACCAGUACCGUGAGGGAAAGGCGAAAAGAACCCCGGCGAGGGGAGUGAAAAAGAACCUGAAACCGUGUACGUACAAGCAGUGGGAGCCUCUUAAUGGGGUGACUGCGUACCUUUUGUAUAAUGGGUCAGCGACUUAUAUUCUGUAGCAAGGUUAACCGAAUAGGGGAGCCGAAGGGAAACCGAGUCUUAACUGGGCGUUAAGUUGCAGGGUAUAGACCCGAAACCCGGUGAUCUAGCCAUGGGCAGGUUGAAGGUUGGGUAACACUAACUGGAGGACCGAACCGACUAAUGUUGAAAAAUUAGCGGAUGACUUGUGGCUGGGGGUGAAAGGCCAAUCAAACCGGGAGAUAGCUGGUUCUCCCCGAAAGCUAUUUAGGUAGCGCCUCGUGAAUUCAUCUCCGGGGGUAGAGCACUGUUUCGGCAAGGGGGUCAUCCCGACUUACCAACCCGAUGCAAACUGCGAAUACCGGAGAAUGUUAUCACGGGAGACACACGGCGGGUGCUAACGUCCGUCGUGAAGAGGGAAACAACCCAGACCGCCAGCUAAGGUCCCAAA